AGAAAAGUCAUAAUGUAGUUUU
rnacentral:miRNA from 1 species